rnacentral:rRNA from 1 species
CCUACGGGAGGCAGCAGUGAGGAAUAUUGGUCAAUGGACGAGAGUCUGAACCAGCCAAGUAGCGUGAAGUAUGACUGCCCUAUGGGUUGUAAACUUCUUUUAUAUGGGAAUAAAACGUUCCACGUGUGGGAUUUUGUAUGUACCAUAUGAAUAAGGAUCGGCUAACUCCGUGCCAGCAGCCGCGGUAAUACGGAGGAUCCGAGCGUUAUCCGGAUUUAUUGGGUUUAAAGGGAGCGUAGGUGGAUUGUUAAGUCAGUUGUGAAAGUUUGCGGCUCAACCGUAAAAUUGCAGUUGAAACUGGCAGUCUUGAGUACAGUAGAGGUGGGCGGAAUUCGUGGUGUAGCGGUGAAAUGCUUAGAUAUCACGAAGAACUCCGAUUGCGAAGGCAGUUCACUGGACUGCAACUGACACUGAGGCUCGAAAGUGUGGGUAUCAAACAGGAUUAGAUACCCCAGUAGUC